ensembl:snRNA U6 U6 spliceosomal RNA
GCUUGCUUCAGCAGUAAGCUAAAACUAAAACGGAAACAAUACAGAGAUUAGCAUGGCUCCUGUAUAAAGACAACAUGCAAAUUCAUAAAGAGUUCCAUAUUUAA